rnacentral:rRNA from 1 species
GACGGAAGGUGCAAGCGUUGCUCGGAAUCACUGGGCGUAAAGGGUGCGUAGGCGGCCGUGCAAGUCUGGCGUGAAAGCCCCGGGCUCAGCCCGGGAAGUGCGCUCGAAACUGCGCGGCUCGAGUGCCGGAGGGGAGAGUGGAAUUCCGGGUGUAGUGGUGAAAUGCGUAGAUAUCCGGAGGAACACCAGUGGCGAAGGCGACUUUCUGGCCUGUUCUUGACGCUGAGGCGCGAAAGCUAGGGGAGCAAACGGG